rnacentral:rRNA from 1 species
CCUACGGGAGGCAGCAGUGGGGAAUUUUGGACAAUGGGCGAAAGCCUGAUCCAGCCAUGCCGCGUGAGUGAAGAAGGCCUUCGGGUUGUAAAGCUCUUUCAGCCGGAAAGAAAUCGCGCAGGAUAAUACUCUGUGUGGAUGACGGUACCGGAAGAAGAAGCACCGGCUAACUACGUGCCAGCAGCCGCGGUAAU